UUUUUUUUUUUUUUCUUUCAGCCAUUUCUUUUUAUUUACAGUUUGUGUUCAAUGCAAAUCAAUUCCAUAAGAAGUUACUAUGAAUCAAAGCGUAAAUACACAAACACAAUAUACAAUCCAAAAUAGAUGUACAGCAUUCUGGAAUAAAGCAAAAGAGUGUUCAUUCACACACACAGUAGCUUCAAAACGGUUCGAUCUGUUUGUUCUCAUGUAGUUUUGUAAAGAUGGAAAAAAAGGACUUUGGUCAUCAAGACUACUGUGGCCAUAUUAGAUUACUGGAACAUCUAAGCAUCAGUGUGUGACCAUGCGAACAAAAGACUUCGGGGAGUGUCUAUUUUUAAAAAGGUUUCUGUGUUUCGAGGCAGUUGUAAAAGAUUUACUGCAGAAUCAAGCCCACUUUUAGGCUUAGGACCAGGUUCUAACUAUCUAAAAAUAUUGACUGAUAACAAAAAGUAUUCCAAAUGUGGCUAUUCUGAUCCAUAGUUGUUUUUUAAAGAAAAAAAAGUAUAUACAGAAAGAGUAUAAAAGUUUGUGAAUUUAAUGCAAAUUAGCUUCCAGUCUUCACUUCCCAAAUACUUGAUUUGUAGUUUUGACUCCUUUACAUUUUUGCCUUCUUAAUUUCAAGAUAAAAGGUCAAACGCAAUGUCAAAUCCAAAGCCUCAGGAGGAAAGUGAGUUCAGUUCCCAAGAGAACAGCAAUAGCUCAACAAUGUAAAACUUCAUCUAGAGUAUAUCGGCAUUAAAUAAGUGCUGCCGAAACAAUACGUUGAGGAAUUACAGUAACACCUGGAAGUUCCUUCUCAUGUACAUAUAAAUAGAAUCAUGGAAGCUUUUUAUAUUACCUGUUUUAUGGCCUUAUAGAAUUAAUGAACCAAAUGAAAACUGAAUCUCCAUUCCACAAUCACAUCCUUUAUUUCUAUUCUUAUUUUCAAGGUAGUAUUAAGUGUCCAUAUUUCUCAAGCCACAUUCAAGGAAAUCAUGUCUUAACUAUUUUGGAUGUUGCCUCUCCUUCAUCUUGUACAUGAAACUCCAGCAGAUUUAAUAUUGGCAUCCAUCAUCUAGUCAAACCUCUCACAUGUUCUUCAAAUCAAUCAAAUUUGGGAUUCUCAACAUUUUCUGUGUCAAUAAAAGGUGUGGAAUUAG
rnacentral:lncRNA from 10 species